UCAUUUUGGCAGUGCAUAUACUAAAAUUGGAGUGAUGGAGAGAAGAUUAGCAGGUCCUCUGUGCAAGGAUGACACGCAAACUCAUUAAACUUUCCAUAUUUUU